GAGUUUGAUCCUGGCUCAGAUUGAACGCUGGCGGCAGGCCUAACACAUGCAAGUCGAACGGUAACAGGAAGAAGCUUGCUUCUUUGCUGACGAGUGGCGGACGGGUGAGUAAUGUCUGGGAAACUGCCUGAUGGAGGGGGAUAACUACUGGAAACGGUAGCUAAUACCGCAUAACGUCGCAAGACCAAAGAGGGGGACCUUCGGGCCUCUUGCCAUCGGAUGUGCCCAGAUGGGAUUAGCUAGUAGGUGGGGUAACGGCUCACCUAGGCGACGAUCCCUAGCUGGUCUGAGAGGAUGACCAGCCACACUGGAACUGAGACACGGUCCAGACUCCUACGGGAGGCAGCAGUGGGGAAUAUUGCACAAUGGGCGCAAGCCUGAUGCAGCCAUGCCGCGUGUAUGAAGAAGGCCUUCGGGUUGUAAAGUACUUUCAGCGGGGAGGAAGGGAGUAAAGUUAAUACCUUUGCUCAUUGACGUUAC
rnacentral:rRNA from 1 species